rnacentral:lncRNA from 1 species
UUGUAUAAAGUUGUAUAGUUUUUAAGGGUAUCUACAAUAUUACUACAUUUAUACUACAAAUUAAACUACAAUCUUAUGUGAAAAAAAAUUGACAAAAAAAUUUGCUCUUCAUCUACAAAAAAAUACAAAUAAACUACAAUUGCACCCACACUGUCACACUUAUAGAAGAUUCAUAUGGCUACCCACAAAUUUACAAUUGAGAAUUGUUGAUUGAUCGAUUGAGGAAGUCUUCUGUAUCAUAUAUCUACUCUCGAUCUCGUACUUGUUAAAAUUCAAAACAAUAUCUGAUAAUUACGAUAAAUUACAAUGGGUUUCAUAUUGAAUCUCUUUGGCUAAAAAUCUGAUUAUACUCAAUCGGUCUCAUCUUUGUAUUUUUUGAGAAAAAGAAGGAAUGGAGAAGAGAAAAAAAUAUGAGGGAGAAAAUAACGCUGGAAUUAGGAGAAAGAAAUAUAGGAAUUAAAGAAAGAGAGAGACAUGGAUGGAUAUGAAUAUCUUUAAUUAAGGAGUAAAAUCUGCCCAUUAAUUAAACCAUUAAUUAAAUAUGAUAUAUAAUUGGUAAUUUAAUAUACGGAUUUGUAAUUAAAUCAAACCUUAAACAUGAAAAAUAAAAAAAUUUCGGUACAGGAAUGUAAAAUCCCUAUAUGAAAUAGCAUAGAAGAGAAAUGGACGCAUGUAAGCAAUUAUCAAACCGUAUGUAUACACGAUAUAUCACAUACUAAUUGCUAGGUAUCAUUUACAUAAUUUUGGAUUAGAAUAUCCACUCAUGGAUAUUAUUACAUAAUUGCUAAAUUAUACAUUAUUUACAUCCAUAAGAACAUCAUACUAUUAAAUGCUAACAUAUUGGCAAAAACUGUUGCACUAUUCGUGUCAAUCUUUGACCAAAAACACCACCUGCAAAAUCGUGAAGUAAUGAUUAAAUGUUUAAGUGUCCAUAUGUUAGACUGAGCGCAAACUUGUCUCACUGAUAUAGUUCUUGUGAAUUACAUAAUAAUAAAAAUAUUAGAUGUCUUAAAUUGGACAAUUUAAAUUAUAUAUAAAGGAUUAGCUGUUGCAGAUUUUAUUUGUAAUUUACAUACCUUUUCAAACAUUGUCUAUCUUUGUGCAUAUGGUUAAUUGUGCCUGAACUUUAAUCAACUAACAUCAAACAGUAUAAUAAUAAUGACUCUGUGAAAGAAGCAGAAAGACCAAUAGCCGUUGAAGUUAGCAGUAAGAUUGUUUUCAAUCAUCAUCAAAGACUCAGAGUAAUGACUGAAGAACAAAGAAGAGGACUUAGAAAUUUUCAAGGUAGAAGAAAGAAAGGGACCAAAUGCUGGAUUGCGUAUGGGUGUUCGUAACACGCAGCGGAAGACAAUAACAAUCCUAGGUAGAUUUUCNAAGGGUGUUCGUAACACGCAGCGGAAGAAAAUAACAAUCCUAGGUAGAUUUUCUCAUGUUUAAAAUUUAUUUACGUGUCAAAAAUAGGAUUUAAGACGUACCUGGUGAAGAGAGUUUCUUUUCCAAAAUUUAUUCGAUAGUGCGAAGACUCUAUGCGUAUCCACACCGAGACCGAUCCUUGCUAUCAACUCUUUGAUAAAUGAAACCCGCGAAAAAUUGAAUGGAAAUAUUAUGCUAAAGAUUUUCUCAAAAACUGUAGCUAAAACGUGAAAGACCAAGAAAACUAAUUUUCUUGUCAAGAAUAAUUUUUUCUUUCUUUGUAUCUCACGUUUUUUUUUCUUCUUUCUAUAUCUCUAUCUCAAUUUUUUCU